GAUGAACGCUGGCGGCGUGCCUAAUACAUGCAAGUCGAGCGAACGGACGAGAAGCUUGCUUCUCUGAUGUUAGCGGCGGACGGGUGAGUAACACGUGGAUAAACUACCUAUACGACUGGGAUAACCUCGGGAAACCGGAGCUAAUCCCGGAUAAUAUUUUGAACCGCAUGGUUCAAAAGUGAAAGACGGCCUUGCUGUCACUCAUAGAUGGAUCCGCGCUGCAUUAGCUAGUUGGUAACGUAACGGCUUACCAAGGCGACGAUGCGUAGCCGACCCGGCAGCCUGAACGGCCACGCUAGAACCAAGACCCCGUCCCCUCUCCUACGGGAGGCCGCCGUAGGGAACCUUCCGAACUGCGCGCAAGCUUGACCGUGCGCCGCCGCGUCAGUGAUCAACGUUCACGGAUCGUAAAGCUCUGUUAUUAGGGAAAGUCAUAUGGGUAAGUCACUGUGCACAUCUUCACGGUACCUAGUCAGAAAUCCGCGGCUUACUACUUG
rnacentral:rRNA from 1 species